UAAACUACGAUUAGAUACCCUAUUAUUGUAUAUGUUAAAUUUUGCUAGGGUAUUAGUAGUUAUAUUCUUUAAACCUAAAAAACUUGGCGGUGUUUUAGUCUAUUUAGAGGAAUUUGUACCUUUAUCGAUAAUCCUCGUUUUAUCUUGCUUUAUUUUGUUAUCAGUAUGUAUACCGCCGUUAUAAGUUUAUUUUAUUAGAAUUAAAAUUUACUUUAUCUUUAAUUAAAGAUUAUUUCAGGUCAAGGUGCAGUUUAUAAUAAAGUGGUUAUGAAUUACAAUAUUAUUGUGAAUAAAUGGAUUUAGAWUUUAAAAUUUUAAUAAAGGUGGAUUUAAUUGUAAUUUUAUUUAUAA
rnacentral:rRNA from 1 species